GCACUUACCUGGCUGGGGAGAUGACACGAGCACGAAGGUGGUUUUCCCGGGGCGAGGCUUAGCUAUCCAUUGCACUCUGCCUUGCUGACCCCUGUGAUUUCCCCAAAUGGGAAAAAGCAACUGCAGAAUUUGUGGUCAUGGGGAACUGUGUUUGAGCUUUCCCCGA